rfam:Aphanomyces astaci strain APO3 cont1.692, whole genome shotgun sequence.
AUAAUCGGCCAUAUUAGCCUGAGUGAACCAUACCCCGUCCGCUCUAUGAAGUUAACCAGGCUCAAGCGUGGGUAGUACUCAGGUGGGUGACCACUGGGGAAGUCCACGUGCUGAUUAUU